AUAGCUCGCGAAUCCCUACGAUCGACUUAGAACGGGCACAGCAGCUGAUACAAGAUGAAGCUGCUCUUUCUUCUCGGUAUUAUAUUCUCGUCAGUAAUCAUGUUGGCGGAACCGACGGAAGGCCUUUCCAGUCGGAGAGGCAGUAUUCCAUGCGCGUGCUUCAGGGAACCCUGUCCUUGUCCGCUGUAGUAAACACCUAUGACAAGACUUACCACCUGGACCUCUGCACCAACCUAAAAGGGAUUCUCUUUUCCAAGCAUGAGCAAGCUUCUUUUUCAGUUUCAAUAAAAGAGGUUGUGAUGA